GAUGAACGCUGGCGGCGUGCCUAAUACAUGCAAGUCGAGCGAACAGACGAGGAGCUUGCUCCUCUGACGUUAGCGGCGGACGGGUGAGUAACACGUGGAUAACCUACCUAUAAGACUGGGAUAACUUCGGGAAACCGGAGCUAAUACCGGAUAAUAUAUUGAACCGCAUGGUUCAAUAGUGAAAGCCGGUUUUGCUGUCACUUAUAGAUGGAUCCGCGCCGCAUUAGCUAGUUGGUAAGGUAACGGCUUACCAAGGCAACGAUGCGUAGCCGACCUGAGAGGGUGAUCGGCCACACUGGAACUGGGACACGGUCCAGACUCCUACGGGAGGCAGCAGUAGGGAAUCUUCCGCAAUGGGCGAAAGCCUGACGGAGCAACGCCGCGUGAGUGAUGAAGGUCUUCGGAUCGUAAAACUCUGUUAUUAGGGAAGAACAAAUGUGUAAGUAACUAUGCACGUCUUGACGGUACCUAAUCAGAAAGCCACGGCUAACUACGUG
rnacentral:rRNA from 1 species